GUUGGUGGGGUAAAGGCCUACCAAGGCGACGAUCAGUAGCGGGUCUGAGAGGAUGAUCCGCCACACUGGGACUGAGACACGGCCCAGACUCCUACGGGAGGCAGCAGUGGGGAAUUUUGGACAAUGGGGGCAACCCUGAUCCAGCCAUGCCGCGUGUCUGAAGAAGGCCUUCGGGUUGUAAAGGACUUUUGUCCGGGAAGAAAAGCGCGAUGUUAAUACCAUUGCGUGCUGACGGUACCGGAAGAAUAAGCACCGGCUAACUAC
rnacentral:rRNA from 1 species